CACGUAGGGCGCAAGCGUUGUCCGGAAUUAUUGGGCGUAAAGAGCUCGUAGGCGGUCUGUUGCGUCCGCUGUGAAAACUCGGGGCUUAACCCCGAGCCUGCAGUGGAUACGGGCAGACUAGAGGUAGGUAGGGGAGAAUGGAAUUCCCGGUGUAGCGGUGAAAUGCGCAGAUAUCAGGAAGAACACGCGUGGCUAAGGCGGCUCGGUAGUACGGUACUGACGCUGAGACGCGAAAGCGUGGGGAGCGAGCAGG
rnacentral:rRNA from 1 species